GAUGAACGCUGGCGGCGUGCCUAAUACAUGCAAGUCGAGCGAACGGACGAGAAGCUUGCUUCUCUGAUGUUAGCGGCGGACGGGUGAGUAACACGUGGAUAACCUACCUAUAAGACUGGGAUAACUUCGGGAAACCGGAGCUAAUACCGGAUAAUAUUUUGAACCGCAUGGUUCAAAAGUGAAAGACGGUCUUGCUGUCACUUAUAGAUGGAUCCGCGCUGCAUUAGCUAGUUGGUAAGGUAACGGCUUACCAAGGCAACGAUGCAUAGCCGACCUGAGAGGGUGAUCGGCCACACUGGAACUGAGACACGGUCCAGACUCCUACGGGAGGCAGCAGUAGGGAAUCUUCCGCAAUGGGCGAAAGCCUGACGGAGCAACGCCGCGUGAGUGAUGAAGGUCUUCGGAUCGUAAAACUCUGUUAUUAGGGAAGAACAUAUGUGUAAGUAACUGUGCACAUCUUGACGGUACCUAAUCAGAAAGCCACGGCUAACUACGUGCCAGCAGCCGCGGUAAUACGUAGGUGGCAAGCGUUAUCCGGAAUUAUUGGGGCGUAAAGCGCGCGUAGGCGGUUUUUUAAGUCUGAUGUGAAAGCCCACGGCUCAACCGUGGAGGGUCAUUGGAAACUGGAAAACUUGAGUGCAGAAGAGGAAAGUGGAAUUCCAUGUGUAGCGGUGAAAUGCGCAGAGAUAUGGAGGAACACCAGUGGCGAAGGCGACUUUCUGGUCUGUAACUGACGCUGAUGUGCGAAAGCGUGGGGAUCAAACAGGAUUAAAUACCCUGGUAGUCCACGCCGUAAACGAUGAGUGCUAAGUGUUAGGGGGUUUCCGCCCCUUAGUGCUGCAGCUAACGCAUUAAGCACUCCGCCUGGGGAGUACGACCGCAAGGUUGAAACUCAAAGGAAUUGACGGGGACCCGCACAAGCGGUGGAGCAUGUGGUUUAAUUCGAAGCAACGCGAAGAACCUUACCAAAUCUUGACAUCCUUUGACAACUCUAGAGAUAGAGCUUUCCCCUUCGGGGGACAAAGUGACAGGUGGUGCAUGGUUGUCGUCAGCUCGUGUCGUGAGAUGUUGGGUUAAGUCCCGCAACGAGCGCAACCCUUAAGCUUAGUUGCCAUCAUUAAGUUGGGCACUCUAAGUUGACUGCCGGUGACAAACCGGAGGAAGGUGGGGAUGACGUCAAAUCAUCAUGCCCCUUAUGAUUUGGGCUACACACGUGCUACAAUGGACAAUACAAAGGGCAGCGAAACCGUGAGGUCAAGCAAAUCCCAUAAAGUUGUUCUCAGUUCGGAUUGUAGUCUGCAACUCGACUACAUGAAGCUGGAAUCGCUAGUAAUCGUAGAUCAGCAUGCUACGGUGAAUACGUUCCCGGGUCU
rnacentral:rRNA from 1 species